rnacentral:rRNA from 1 species
CUGCUGCCUUCCGUAGGAGUCUGGGCCGUGUCUCAGUCCCAGUGUGGGGGGCCUUCCUCUCAGAACCCCUACGCAUCGUCGCCACGGUGGGCCGUCACCCCGCCGUCUAGCUAAUGCGCCGCAUGCCCAUCCGCCACCGGAUCGCUCCUUUGGCCACCGGAGGAUGCCCUCCGGUGGCGUCACGGGGUAUUAGGCCGCGUUUCCGCGGGUUAUCCCCCUGUGGCGGCCAGGUUGCAUACGUGUUACUCACCCGUGCGCCGGUCGCCGGCCGGG